GCGGAUGUGGCUCAGUGGUAGAGCAUCACCUUGCCAAGGUGAGGGUCGCGGGUUCAAAUCCCGUCAUCCGCU
rnacentral:tRNA from 1 species